UUCUUUGAUUAAGAGAGAGAGAGAAAAAAAAGGUGGAAAUUUUGUACUUCUGGGAGGGGGGGGGGGUGAAAAAAAGAGUGUCUGUUAUGUAUGGAAUGUCAGUAUAUAUCAUGUUAUUAUGAUAGUUGUGAUGUGAUGUCCUUUCAUAUCUUUUGACAGUAUGAUUUAAUUUCAAGUAAUGAACAGAAUCAACAAAAGCUACUUUCAAAGCACUUAUGUUGAUGUUCACGUCAGUUAUAUUUCAAAAUGGAUCAUCAGACAGGUUCCAAUUACACGGACCUAUGAAAAAAAAAAAUCAUCUCACAAUCAUGUCUUAUUGCCAGUAUUGCACAUUUGCUCUUCAUUAAGCGAAGCAACAUAUCGACGCGACCUCUAUCAUUAAUUCCACAAGUGGCAACUCGGUCCCUGCAUGUCACGUGUGCAUUAUCGUGCAUCUCCGCAUGCCAACACUGUGACAGCCAUUCUAAAAGAUAUUUGUCACAACUGAGCUUAUAGAGGCAAAGGUAUACUAAGAAGCGAAUGGAGCCUCGUGUCGUGGCUCUUGCGCGAAGGGACCAAGAAGAGGCCGGCGUCCCAGGCAAGUGGAGGCGCGUCGACGUCUUUCUUGGAAAUCUCGGGCGUUACCAACCAACCUGACGAUUUCCGCGGCCUACUUUUCAUUAAGGGCCCUCUUCUGCCGCCAGGCUCCGUCGCGCGGGCGUGGGCCUCGAGAGCUUCAAGGGCGAAGUCACUGCAGGCGAAGUCACUGCAGGCGAAGUCAGACCAAAGGAAGUCUACGCCCAGAGGGAACCUUUUCCCGACCGGGCAGACACUUUUCACCCCCACCAAGCUGGAUAGCGACGGGAUGGGGCAAUAAAGCUCAUUUUACUUAUACCUGUUAAC